UUCCCUUUCUCAGUCCACGAGACAGCAGUCCACGAGAGCAGGCCGCCGCCGCUGGUCCCGAUUUCGAUCCGGCCGGUGCGACCACUUCGCCUCCGCCCCGUCCCACACCACCGGCCGCGCGCCUCGCCCCGCCUCCUCGCCGGCUUAUCCCAUCCGCCGCCUGCCACCCCCGCCAAGAACUGCUGCCGUUGCGCUCGACAGCCACCAAUCCACCCUUGCCGCUAGAGCGCCGCCCCCAUCCCUUCUCUCCGCUAUUCUCUGGACCGUCACCGCGGGAUCUGUACCGCCACCCCGUCGCCACAGGAGCUGGACUGCCUGCAGCCCCGUCGUUUCUCCUCGCAGAGGUGGUCCUGUACGUGCUCACACCCCCAAGCUGACGGCGACUUCAGUCUGAAUGGGAAGUGCAAGAGGAAAGGAUAAAGAUGGUGGGGUCACGUCGGACGAACUAAAGGCAGUUGAAUAUCAAUUACAAAUAACUAGGCAAAUAGAAAAAAAUAGCAAGAAGCUGGCAAUUGUUCGUGAAAGAUGAGAUGCACUUAGAGGUCAUAUGGAAGCAACCCAACCUCCUAACAAGAAAAGAAAGGCAUCCUCCAAAAUACCUGACAGUAGAAAUGAACAUCGUGUUUUAAGGUCGAGCGCAAGAAAAGAUGAUCUUGUAGAUUCUGGACAACAUCGAAAGAGGUUAUUCAUGAGCUUGAUGGUAAUGGUAAUGGUGAAAAGAAAGGUGGAAGAAAAAUUACUCAGAAGUUAAACAUUUAUUCGAGGCAGACUAAGCCUAAAAUCAAAAUUCCAUUUAAUGAGCUUGGCCAGCCUUAUGGGGCAGAUGCAACUGAAUUUGCAAAUUUCAUUGGUACUUUGGUGAGGAAGCAUAUAUCACUUGCGAAGUUAGAUUGGAGAGAUGUUGAGCUGGAAGAACAGAAGUCAUUGGUGUGGGAUCACUUACAGGCUUUCUAUGAGCUGGACUCCACUGCUCUGAGCUAUGUUUAUAACACUUCACACACUAAAUGGAAGGAAUGGAAGGUUGAUUUAAAGAAGACAAAGUUUGAUCCUGAAUUGACUGAUGAACAACUUAUGAGAAGAUGGAUGAGAGAAUUAGUAAACGUGAUUGGGCUACCCUUAUUGAAUAUUGGCGAUCUCCAGAAUUUGAAGCUCGCAGUGCAAGAGCGAAAGAGAAUCGUGCCAAGUUGACGGUGUCGCAUACAACUGGUAGAAAGAGUGAUGCCCGUGUUACCCAUGAAAUGGUUAUCUUACGAAUGAUAUGAUGUUGUAUUUCAAAGCCUAAUACAUUGUACUAAACUUGGACUGAUUGUAAGCUGAUGAACUCGGGUAUGCCCCUCGGAGAGAUGAAGUUUUCAUCAAAACACAUACACUUGGGGAUGCUAUGCGUAAGGACAAAGAUCCAAGAAGCUGACGGGCAAGAAACCAUGAAGUCGGGGUUUCUGUCAAAUGGAUAUUUUGUGUAAUGGAGCAAACAAUGAAUUAUUUUGUAAACUUGUAUGGUUUCUUGAACUUUGAACGAUGUUUCCUUUAGUUUAUGAGAAUCUAAAUGGUAACUAUGUUUCGAUGA